rnacentral:lncRNA from 1 species
UGAGACUGUUGGCUUGUCUCAAGGGACUUGGUAAAACUGGGCUGCUUGUUAGGAAGCUCCGUCUGUCCAGAAUAUUAUCAGCUGGUGAUGUUGGGCCAGCUCGGGUAAGGCCCAGUACUUUGGGAGGGUCAGUUCCAGUGUAGCUAUGGCUGCUGUGUUUUCCAGAGAACUGUUGUUUGAACUAUCACACCUCUUUUAAGUUUUCAUUUUCCAGUGCUUCAUGGGAGGAAAAAUUGUUUUCAGGAAAGCAACCAUUUUUGGCAAAUGAAAGAAUUUAAAAUACUUUUAUUUUUAUUUUUAUUAUUUUUAUUUUUAUUUUUAUUUUUAUUUUUAUUUUUAUUUUUAUUUUUAUUUUUAUUUUUGAAAGGGGGGUAGUAGGGAGGUGGGUGGUGUGGAAGGCCAGCCAUGCUCCUACCCAUGCUGAGAAUCCCACUUCUUCCAACAUGCUGUGCCUCCCCCCGGGGUCCUGCACAGGGUGAAGGAUGAAUUGAGCUGCCUGCCCUGCUCUGCUGACACUCCCCAGGACUUUUAGCUGAUGAUUUUUCACUAAGACACCUGGAUCCUCCAAACCUGGUUUUGUUUCUGUGCAGCAUCACCUCUAUUUGCAGAAAGCAAUGAGGCUGUGAUGUGAGCAUCCCUUGGCCUGUAUCUGGGAAAGCUCAGGCCGGUGCUGGAUGCAUUUUGAGCGGCAAGCUGGAGUGAGCAGGUAUUUAUUUACUCGGUCUGGGGCAUCACAGUGGUGUUACUUAUUCCUGCCCUGGCUGGUGUCCCAGGAGCGCCUGGGCGCUGGCAGCCCCUCGGUGCUGGGCAGACACUGCUGCGUUUCAGAGCCCCGCUCAAUGCCGCUGUUUGUGCUCCUCCGAACGCUCACGCCUGGGGAUGGGGCAGCUGCCAGCACAGGGGCCGUGUCAGGACCACGGGGAAUUUGGGAGAAGGCACAUGGCCAGCACUCUGCGGUGCCUGCACAGCCUGGCAGCAGGGGAUGUCGUUCCAGGAUUACAGAUGUUGGGUGCCUAUCCUUGGGCUCUUGAUAAGAUCAGACCGGCAAGGCGAUGCCGCUGGCAAAAUGCCUUCACCCAGUGCCCGCGUGGCUGUGCCGGGAGAAGCAGCGGGGAUGUGCUCGGCACCGCUGGCCUCACCGCGACCAGCGCGAGAUGGAGGUGGCUGAGGCUGCGGCUGCUGCUGGCCAGGCUUGGCUGGCCUCCUGCCUCCAGGCAGGGAGCAAUGGCUCCUCCAGCCAUGGCUUCUAAUGC